AGUUGCAAAUGGUGGAAGGAUCGAUUCAAGAGAGAAGAGGAGAAGAAGAGAGAAGCUGAUGUGCAACCGAAUGUUGGAGAGAGAAGAUUCCUCUCCCUAUUUGAUUUACUAACAUGAAGUGAGAAUUACAAACACCUCCCUAGGGAGGUAAAAG